rnacentral:rRNA from 1 species
AAAUUGAACUCGCUGUGAAGAUGCAGUGUACCCGCGGCAAGACGGAAAGACCCCGUGAACCUUUACUAUAGCUUGACACUGAACAUUGAGCCUUGAUGUGUAGGAUAGGUGGGAGGCUUUGAAGUGUGGACGCCAGUCUGCAUGGAGCCGACCUUGAAAUACCACCCUUUAAUGUUUGAUGUUCUAACGUUGACCCGUAAUCCGGGUUGCGGACAGUGUCUGGUGGGUAGUUUGACUGGGGCGGUCUCCUCCUAAAGAGUAACGGAGGAGCACGAAGGUUGGCUAAUCCUGGUCGGACAUCAGGAGGUUAGUGCAAUGGCAUAAGC